ACGCAGUCCUAUCCCUACGGUCCUGGAAUUGGGGGUUACUAUCUUGGAAUCUAGGGGCACUCCAGGCUCUGGGCUCAGACGGCUGGCUUCUGCCUACCCGAGCCUUAACCUUUCAAGGACCAGAAGGAUUCCAGAGCUCUUGCCCUAGGUCCUGGGGCAGCGAUGACUCACUGCAGCACCCCCUCCCACUUCGCCAAGCUGCCGUCUCCGCCCACCCCCAAACAAUCUCGACAGCGCAUUUCGGGAGCCACGGCUCCGGGCGCUUUGCUGGGGGCUAAAGGGGUUUAUCCCUUUCCUUGAAUCCCAGCAGGCUAGAACUACCCCCUCCCAGUCUUCAGGCUUGCCACGCUCUCCACCCGAUCCUUCCAUUGAAAGGCAGAGAAGGAAGGAUGUGCUUGGGAACUUUAAGACCCACGAACGACAGCGCACUGAUGGAGCAGCCCAGUGUCUGGGGCAAAGUCCUCGAGGUUCAUUCAUUCAGGAAGCCUCUGACCAGCCUUUACCAUGCGCUGAGUGAGAAGCUGAGGAUAAGGAAAGAGCAAGACCCCCAAGAAACCCUGAUGUCUGGCUGAAAGCCGAAGCAUGACGCAACUUUGCUAUAUUUCUCUCCAACAAGGAUUUGUAUAUUUUCGCUUUCUCCUCAAGUAACACCUGGACCUGCUCCUUUCCCUUCAAACGCUGAGGGCUCAGUCUCCAAGUUCCUUUAUGAAACAGGGUGUACCAUCAGAGACGCAGGUAUUUAUUGAAACCUGCUUUGUGCUGGGCAAUGUGCCAGAUGUUGGGGAUAAAAUGGUGAGCAGACAGAUCCUGUGCCUGUCUUUAUUGAGCUUGGAGCCUAGAGACUUCAGAAAUGAAGAUGCAAAGACAACAGGGGAAACCAUAUAUGUUUAUGGACAGUCAUGCCAAAGUAUGAUUGGAAGACAAAAAGAUUUUUGGCCAAUUCACUGCUCACUAACAUCUCCAUCAAAGGGAAAAACACACAUUGUAAAAUAAGAAUUCUUCAAAGACAACUUGAAGACAUCUGGGAAUUCUGAAGCCUGAAAAUUCCAUGAGUUCAUAGCAGUGUUCACUAAUUCCACUGAUCUAAAGACAAAAAGGAGAGUCAACUGCGUGCCCAAACUCAUUUCUGAUGAUUUCUUCCAUCCUAACUUUUCUGCCUCUCUGGGGGUGGUUAUGCCUGUGAAAAACAUUGAAGCUGUCAGGAACAGAGUCGGCUUUCAAGAUUGGAAUGUCAAAGUAGAGUCUUCUUUUCCUCAGACCAGAAGGGGCUUGGUUGGGUAAGAGUUUCCAGAUCUAAAUGGAGACAGGACUGGGAUAUAGGAGCUUGUACGGAUAAACAACACAAACACCUUGGUUGAAGAAACCGAAGCACAAAGAAUAACUUGUCCAAGAUCACAGAGUUUAGGAAGUAAGGAAGCAGGGCUUUGAGCUUUGCAUCAAGUGAUGACCCAUAAAUGCAAAUGGAAUACAACAGGAGUGGGUCCCUAAAGUCCCACCCAGAGAAUGCCCUUCUGCCAAAAAAUUUCGGAUUGAAACAGCAAAAACACCUAAGCAACUGAUAGUCAGGUAUGGUAUUUUUCGAUGUCCAACUAUAGAACUGAAAAGAUCUUUUCUAUGGUUAGUCUACACGAAUUUCUGUUAAAGAAG
rnacentral:lncRNA from 1 species